rnacentral:lncRNA from 1 species
GGUUGGAAGGCUUUACAUACAUUAACUUAUUUAACAGAAAAAGGAACAUAAUAUGCUUCAACAUCAGCCAAGUCAUUUUAGCAACCAAGCAGCUGCUAUAUAAAUAAUUGACCAUGGACUGGAACCACCCAGUUUACUGUUCAACUGCCAUUGGUGAUGAAAACAUAACUGUGAUGACCACACUCUUAGAGGAAUGAAAGCAGAAGGAAUGUGGACUGUACAAAGAGCAGAGAGAAGAGAGCUUAUAAUGAUGGCAUCUGCGUUAUGGAGGACCUGUCUUGAAUCCUGUCCUCUCUCUCCUGGUAAGGCUCUUCUUUCACCAAGCUAAGGAUAAUGCUUUACUUCAGACUCACUUAUUAAAAUGAACUGUGAGUACAUGGUGAAUUAUAUAAUCCCAGCCUCAAAAAUAAUAUGCGUAAG